rnacentral:rRNA from 1 species
UGUAUGGGGAUCUGCCCGAUAGAGGGGGAUAACUACUGGAAACGGUGGCUAAUACCGCAUAAUGUCUACGGACCAAAGCAGGGGCUCUUCGGACCUUGCACUAUCGGAUGAACCCAUAUGGGAUUAGCUAGUAGGUGGGGUAAAGGCUCACCUAGGCGACGAUCUCUAGCUGGUCUGAGAGGAUGAUCAGCCACACUGGGACUGAGACAUGGCCCAG